rnacentral:lncRNA from 1 species
GAGGAAGUACGAUUCAUUUCCGGUGUCGCAUAAAUGUAAACUAUUUUCUGUUUUAUGUGCAGAUAUUUGAGGUGUUCGGUGUUGUGCAAAAACUCAUGAUACCACGCCCCCACAAACUUUCGCACUUGGGAUAUGCAAUCCUGCAAGUGAGAUUAUUUUCUUUUACUCGACAUGAAUAGUAUUAGUAACUCUCUUUAGACUAGCCCCUCUGCCCAACUAAUAAGAUUUUUUUUUAUUUUUCUGGUAGUUCGAUAGUGCAGAAGGUGUGCGAGCUGCUCUCCGUUUGGACAAGCAACUGGAGUUUAUUUAUCAGAACGUAACGGUAACACAGUAACAGUAAAAUUGCUCUCCUUUUUUAAAGCAGUGUACAGAAUUGUUUUUCUAAGAAAUUAAGGUUGUAUCUUAUAGGUAGAGAUGCAAGUUACUGCACUUGAUGGAACAGAAUUGAGUCAUGACGGGGAAACAUAUACUACAUGUAAGGAUCCCGUGGAAGAUGAUGGUUCUUUGUAAAUGCAGACUCUUCGAAUAUAAGGAUCUCGUGGAAGAUGAUGGUUCUUUGUAAUGCAGACUCUUCGAAUAUAAGGAUCUCGUGGAAGAUGAUGGUUCUUUGUAAUGCAGACUCUUCGAAUAUAAUGGCAUUGGCUAUGAAAAAGUGUAACUGCAUCAUUUUUUAUGACAUUAGUAUAUAUGUUGCCGUGAAUAGCAACAGAUUAACUGAUUGCAUUUAGUUUUAGCCUUAUUAAGAGAUUAUGAGACUUUUUUCUAGAACUAUCGUCUUCCCCUGGUGUUUUUGUUUGACAAUCCCAGAAAGGGAGACAAUAUAUG